CUUCAACGACCCCAGCCACACCGGCCGUUCGCGCCCCUGACCGUACGUCGCCAGCAGGGCCCCCGCCUC
rnacentral:antisense_RNA from 1 species